rnacentral:rRNA from 1 species
AGAGUUUGAUCAUGGCUCAGAACGAACGUUAGCGGCGCGCCUAACACAUGCAAGUCGCACGAGAAAGGGCUUCGGCCCCGGUAAAGUGGCGCACGGGUGAGUAACACGUAGGUAAUCUUCCCUCGAGUAGGGGAUAACUCUCCGAAAGGAGAGCUAAUACCGCAUAAGACCACGGUUCCUUCGGGUUCUGUGGCCAAAGCGGGCCUCUUCACGAAAGCUCGCACUCGAGGAUGAGCCUGCGGCCCAUCAGGCAGUUGGCGGGGUAACGGCCCACCAAACCUAAGACGGGUAGCUGGUCUGAGAGGAUGGUCAGCCACACUGGAACUGAGACACGGUCCAGACUCCUACGGGAGGCAGCAGUGGGGAAUCUUGCGCAAUGGGGGAAACCCUGACGCAGCGACGCCGCGUGAGUGAUGAAGGCCUUCGGGUCGUAAAGCUCUGUGGGGAGGGACGAAUAAGUGUUGGCUAACAUCCAGCAUGAUGACGGUACCUCCUUAGCAAGCACCGGCUAACUCUGUGCCAGCAGCCGCGGUAAGACAGAGGGUGCAAACGUUGUUCGGAAUUACUGGGCGUAAAGCGCGUGUAGGCGGCGUGGCAAGUCGGGCGUGAAAGCCCACGGCUCAACCGUGGAAGAGCACUCGAAACUGCUUCGCUAGAGUUCUGGAGAGGAAGGCGGAAUGCUUGGUGUAGAGGUGAAAUUCGUAGAUAUCAAGCGGAACACCGGUGGCGAAGGCGGCCUUCUGGACAGUGACUGACGCUGAGACGCGAAAGCGUGGGGAGCAAACAGGAUUAGAUACCCUGGUAGUCCACGCCGUAAACGAUGGGUGCUAGGUGUCGCGGGCUUUGACCCUCGCGGUGCCGCAGCUAACGCGUUAAGCACCCCGCCUGGGGAGUACGGCCGCAAGGCUAAAACUCAAAUGAAUUGACGG